UGAGUAGAGUGGUAGUGUAGGGACCUGGCUACGACUCACUGUUUCAGGGAUAAGAAGGAGAGAGGGGAGCUGAUGAUAAAUAUUAAAAAUAAAAAGAGAAGAGGGGUUUGCGUUCUUUGUGGUUUUGCUGUUUCGGCUUCAGCCACAAUACCUGUAAUAUCUUUCUAAUUCUUUUUAUAUUUUUAUUCAUUCCUUUCGGGGUUUCGGCUAAUCUCUCUCUCUCUCUCUCUCUCAAUUUCUUUCUUUCUUUUUAAACUCUUUCUCUUUAUUUCAUUCUUGUAAGAAUCAGCCUUAUUAUAUGAUCGAUCUGUUCUUACUUUUCGAAUGUGAGUUACUGAGUUUUUGUUUCAGAUUAUGGAGAUUUGAUUAGCUUUCUAGUGCCCCAGUUCGAUCUAUAUUUUAUUGUUCCGUAUCUGAUCCUUGACUAGUAAUGAGCUUUUUUUUUUUUUUUUGGGGUCAAAUUCUAUUCGAGCAAAAAUUCUCUCUGGCUCAGCAGUUGAUCACAUUACAUCUUUUUUGCAUCUGCUUUUGUUGAGUAUUAUUUUUUCUUCUUUACCCAAAACACUCUCCGUAAUACACUUUUCUGGAUAAUGUUUUUUUGUAGAGCCAAAACUACGGUUCAGUACUGAGGAGCAAGUGUGGUCUUUGAAGAAUGAGCUGACAUAGGCAAUAGAGAGAGAUGUCAAGGGAGUUGGUGGUCUAUUUUGGAAGAGAAUGAUGGGUGGCACCAUAGUAAAAGCUUAUAAAUAGAGGGGUUCACAAACUGCAGAAGCCACAAUAUUGGUUGUGCUAUAUUGACCUUGAAGUUUCUAGUGGGGAGGAGAUGGAACUGCUGAAGAGAAUAGAUAGCGCACAAUUAUAGAGUAAUUUAUUCUUCUUUAGUGCUUCUUUUAGGUACUAUUUAUCCAUUUCAUUAUAUUAUUUACCUCAUUCAAUGCCUUUUCUGUUGUAACGUAUGAUAAACAAUAUUCCAAAGUUAUUAUAUGAAGACCAAAAGAAAAUUACAGUUGUAUGGUUGUUUGUAAUUCUAUUUAGCAAGUCAAUGUAGUUAAGUUUUGUGAUAGGUGAUCUACAAGAUUAGAAACUCACAGUCCUAUUAGGUAAUUCACAACUUAUAUUACUAAAGAUAUCCAUCUAUGACUAGAGAAUAACCACCAAAAGCACAAUUGCAAUUUGAUUAUGCACUCCAACUUAGUCUCAUUGAGUAUUUCAUUUAAAAUUUUCAGUUUAUUAUUAUAUAAGCAUUACAAAAAAAUGUAUGCACACACACGCACACUCUUAUAGAGAGAUUAUCAUUGUUAAAAACAUCAAAACAUUUCUCCCCGUAUUCCCUCAAUUUUGCUUUAGUUUUUGUUUUAUUUUUUCAGGCCUGAGAAAAUAGUUUUAUAACUUAUAAGUUAAUAUGUUGGAAACAAAAUUUAGACUUAUGUGUACUUAUGAGGGAAAAUGCUAUAUUGUAUAGGACUUAAAUUUAUAGCUCUCUUUUUCCCUCCCUUUUGCCAAUUGCCCAUGAUGAGUCAAUGAAUCACUUUGCAUAAACUGUUAUGUUCUAGUUGUUCACUACUCUUUAUAUUAAAAGCUUUAAUGCUGCCUAUAUUGAUUCUCAAGAUAAAACUUCAAAUGGAAGUUUAAGACCUAGGGUAAAAGUGUUUGUGAACAUGUGCAGAGAGAGAAGCCUGUAACUGCCAGAUAAGAACAAUGGCUGAAGAGUUACAAAAAGUAACAGUCAAUAAAUAUAACUUUUCAAAAAAAUUUGUAACUUUUCCACCUUUUUUCUGA